rnacentral:rRNA from 1 species
UACGUAGGUGGCAAGCGUUGUCCGGAUUUACUGGGCGUAAAGAGCGCGCAGGCGGUCGUUCAAGUCGAGUGUGAAAGCCCCCGGCUCAACUGGGGAGGGUCACUCGAUACUGAUCGACUCGAAGGCAGGAGAGGGAAGCGGAAUUCCCGGUGUAGUGGUGAAAUGCGUAGAUAUCGGGAGGAACACCUGUGGCGAAAGCGGCGCACUGGACCACAACUGACGCUGAGGCGCGAAAGCUAGGGGAGCAAACAGG